UCGACCUCACAUCAGGCGAGACAACCCCCUGAA
rnacentral:rRNA from 1 species